UGUGCACCAGUGGGGUCCCUCGGCCUGGUCUGCACCCUCUCUCAAUCCAGGACCCCUCUGGGAAUGUAGGAGAGCUGGUUUAGGCCCAAUCUCUGCAGGCCAGGCCGAGGGACCCCAUUGGUGCACG
rnacentral:pre_miRNA from 1 species